GAUGAAGAACGUAGCGAAAUGCGAUACGUAAUGUGAAUUGCAGAAUUCAGUGAAUCAUCGAGUCUUUGAACGCACAUUGCGCCCCCUGGUAUUCCGGGGGGCAUGCCUGUCCGAGCGUCAUUGCUGCCCUCAAGCACGGCUUGUGUGUUGGGCCUCCGUCCUCCUCCCGGGGGACGGGCCCGAAAGGCAGCGGCGGCACAGCGUCCGGUCCUCGAGCGUAUGGGGCUUCGUCACCCGCUCUUGUAGGCCCGGCCGGCGCUUGCCGACACAUCAAUCUUUUUUCCAGGUUGACCUCGGAUCAGGUAGGGAUACCCGCUGAACUUAAGCAUAUCAAUAAGCGGAGGA
rnacentral:misc_RNA from 1 species